ensembl:processed_transcript
GGAUAAAGCUCCCGGGAGGAUGCUUCGGUGCGGGGCGCGUCGCCCCCCUCAGGCCACCAGAGCCCGGAUACCUCAGAAAUUCGGCUCUGGGUCUGUGGGGAGCGAAAUGCAACCCAAACCCCGUUUCCCCGAAGCCCCGCGCAGAUAAACACGCACAAGCACGCACACAGACGUCGCGUCGGCCCGCACUCGCAGCCGCAGGUCCCGGCGUCAGGGAAGAGCUCCGGGAGACCCGCGAUGGGUCGCCGCCUUCGCCUCGCAGCCUCCCGGGCGCGGCCGCUCGCCCUCGCCGCCUCCCGGGCGCGGCCGCUCGCCCUCGCCGCUCGCAGGUGGCGACGGAAGUGCCCGGCGUCACCCGGCGGGACGGCGCAACGGCCGGUCUGGGCCUGCAGCCGCGGCGGCCCGGGCCGGAGGGGAGCGGCCGCCGGACACUGGUAGGCGGGGUUGCGGGGCAGGCAGGGAGGGACAGGCGGGGUCGGCGACAGACGACGGGCUCCCGCGGCGCUUCUCCCGACCCGCGGGCCGCAUCGCCGCCCCUUGAGCUGAGCAGCGGCGGCUCCCGGGCAGCUGGGCGCCCGCCGGCCUCGCCGUUACCGUUGGAGAUGUCCUAGGCGCGGCGGCUGGGCUCCGGCGACGGAGGCGACCGCGAUCGUGUCGGCCCGGGAGCGGGGCCGUUGCCUCUAGCUUAAUAGGGCAGAUGCGCGGAAACUCCAACAGGUGGCUCCGUGGCGCAAUGGAUAGCGCAUUGGACUUCUAGAGGUUGAAGGCAUUCAAAGGUUCCGGGUUCGAGUCCCGGCGGAGUCGAAACGUUUUUCUUUCGUCACCGAGAAAAUUAUCUUUGAUUUCUGUCUUUUACUCCUUUUCUCUGUAAUCUAAACGACUUAAUUCCCAGCACAGCCACAGACCACUCCCGCUGCUUUCCGCAACCCUUACCUGCAGUUCCGGAGCUUUCAGACCCCUUUAGCUGACCCGGGCCGAUCCCAGUCGAGAGAACAGGGAGGCAGUAGAGAAUCCAGGUGCUCAACCUGGGCCUAAAUGAGAGCUUGAGAUAGACCUGGGGUCUACAUCCCACGUCUGGAACUUGACAGUGGCCCCCAGCAGGGUCAAGAAAACAGGAUGCGCAGGCUAGUCCUAAGGCAUUAGAAGUACACCACCUCACCCCACCCCGCCUCCGGAAUCUCGAGUGGAUCCUGUUUAAAAAAAAAAAAAAAAAGCAGAUCUCUGUGGUCACUUCAUGAUGCCAUUUCAGUGGAUCUGGAAUGGGGCCCAGAAAUCUGCAUUUCUGGGGUUGUCUGCUUUCUUCACGAUUUUAGUCCAAAGGUUGGAGUUGACACGCUCUGCCUGCCAGCUAGAGGCAAGAGCCCUCUUCUGACAAGACUAGCUUUGCACAGAGGGAGCGUUUCACUUCACCAAAUGCCAGUAUGCAUAGGAAUCAAUGGAGUUUUAAAAAGUUCACUGUACCCACAAAACCCCUAAUUCAUGUAAACUGUAAAAAAUCAAAAUUGUCGGUAAAAACACACCUUUGCAGUUUAUUUCACCUCUUUCGGUUAAUACAGGUGGAGCUGUGCUGUGUGUUGUGUCCUGCAGAUAGAAUAGCUAAUAGACACGCAUUGUUCGCCCAUUGCAGUCCUUGAGUGGACAUCCUGUUCUUUGUGUACAUGUGUAUCUUUACAAUAGAUUCCUAGGAAGUUGGACCGCCGGCUCCAGCCGGUUCCAGCGCUUCUAAUUGGUGCCUGCUUUGAUAAGGUUUGGCAGCUUCCCCACAUACACUCUGCUCACUUUAUUCUCCCCAGCAGUGUGGGAGAAUGCCUGUUUCCCACAACCCAUGUUCCCUGAAACGUAAACACUAAUCGUAGUUUUCAACCCACUUCUUCAUGCGCAGGGUAACUUAUAUUUUCUGUGAUUUAUCUGCCCUAUGAUUGAGCUCGUUUUCAUUUUGUGUCGCUCACACCCACUCAGGAUGGCUCUGAUUGGAUGUUUGUAUUAGGUUGUAGUUCUUUACCUAGGAGAGGACAGCCUUCUGGUUUAAAUAAAUGCAAUUUAUUUUCCAGUCUACUUGUGUGUUUAUGAAACGUUUUCCUCUCACAGAAAUUCACACAUUGGAAUUCACCAGUGUUUGCUAGCUUCUAAGUUUGAAAUCCCCCAGAGUGUUAGUUUCCUUUUAAUGGUUUUUCUUUUUAAACCUUUUUCCCAUCUGAAAUAUCUUUUGGAAUGGGAGUUCUGCCCCAGAGAUGCUGGUGUUGAGCCUCUGUGUCCUCUGUACUAAUUUGAAAUGCCACCUUCAUUGCUGUCUAAAGCCCUGUACACACUUCUCUUUCUGGAUUUUCUAGUUUACUGCAUUGGUCUGAAAUUUUUGUGUGCUAUUGUACACUCUAGUGGGGUUGUUUUUUUUUUUUAAAUUUCCCUUGCAUAGUCACGAAUUAUUAAUAUAAUAAUCAAGUAGCUUGGUCAAGGCUACACAUGCUGUGAUUUAUAGAUUAUAAACAAGUCCCUCUUGUUUGAUAACAUGGACUGUGGGAAACAAGCAUUCUGACACAUUGCUGGGGACUCUAAAGUGAGUGUAGACUCCAGUGAGGAUAUUAGAAAUCUUUUUGUCUCUGCAAGAACAAGAUAAGCAGAUUUAAGUUCAUUUUGACUCAUGGUGUCAGAGGUUCUGAAAAAGGAACUACUAACUUGUCGUCCAAAGAAAGGAGAGGCUACCUCUGGACCCUACGUGUUCAUCACAGGCCUGCUCUCAACAGCGUCCUCAUAAAACAGUGCGUUAGGCAAAAGGCCAGGACGGCUAUAGACCUAGUCCUUUAUGACCUCACCAACUGAGAGCUGGUGGAGAAUGAGGAAGUCACACAAGGAAUCCAAGGAGAAACUGUUGCUCAGGGAAAGGCCACUUCCCCAAGACUCACUGCGUAAGCCUCCAGUUCACCUUGGCUGACCACCGGUCAGCAAAGUCUCUGCAUUUACCUUUAGUUGACUAAACGCACACAGCCAGGCAGAGUAUGUUAGCUUCCUGCUCGCUUAUGAGAAAUCAUACCUCUGACAUGUGGGUUCUGAGAACUGAUAGUUGUCUGGGUUACUUUGCAGAAACUUGAGUGAGCUUUCCAUAAGCUAGGAGGCUCUUCUGGAGCCUACAAUACCUGAUGGAUAAAUAGAAUAAAAAAGUAAAAUAACGCGGUUUUGCAUCUGUCUUCCAGUAGUGUCUGUCCCUGUUGCUGUCUUAACUCCCGGGUCCGCUCUACAUAGAGAUAAAUGUUUAUCAUUUAAAACACUGUUUGGUCCAAGUAUCACUUGGCCUGUUGCCUGUUGGAACUGGUGUUUCUUCUACCCCAUCUUGUGUUUUCUAGGCAGCUUAUGCAUCUGCAAUCUAGACCAUGAGACCAGAAUGUUUGAUGAGCAACUCAGCAGUUUCCAAGCAAAGCUGACCACCAAAUUAGUCCACGAAAUAAAAGGAUAGUGUGUGUGUGUGUGUGUGUGUGUGUGUGUGUGUGUGUGUGUGUGUAAGAAGCCUAUCUUUUAGAAACAUUUGGGACUAACAGACAAUGAACUUUAAUCCAUCCCAGGAAAGUCAGAAGCCACUCUGAUUGUGUAAAGCUGGCACCACAGUCACUUUUUGGUCAGUGUUGUCUCUCCUUUACUCAUGCUAAAGAGCCAAUAAAUGGAAGUUCCGCCUUGCUCCUCCAGGUUCAUACCAUAUGCUUGGAGUCUGGCUCGAAGACACAGAGUUAGAAUCUGAACUACUCGAGUCUGAGGCAAGAGCAUCACAGGUUCAAGGUCUGCCUGUAGAAACACCCCGUUUGAGAAACGCCAGAGAGGCCUGAGGAUUUAGCUCAGAGCCUGUAUACUACCCAGAAAUGCCAAAGGCAGAACUGUAACUUGGUCUCGUUUCUGUUGUUCCCAAGCCAUAAGUCCUGCUAUCUGAUCUCAGUCCACAGUUCCUUGGCUUGGAUGCUUCUGUGACCGUGUUGAGGCAGAACACCAUGACAAGGAGACAGGUAUGGAACAACACAGGUCACACCAGCAGACAGGAGGAGGGCAGAGGCAGCAAAAGCAAGAUAAUAGACUUCCCAAAGGCACGAUCUCAAAUACCUGCUCUCAAUAAGGUCCUGUUUUCACACCCUAAUAGCCCGUCAAAGGAUCAAUCUAUACAUGGCUUAGAGUCCUCAUGAUAUAAUUUUAUCCCCAAAGCUCAGACUCUAUAGGACAAACUUAAACUUUUGAUCCCCCUUACCUCUGUGAGUUACAAGCAUGUAUAACCAGUUCAUGUGAUGUUAGUGAUCAAAUCCAGGGCUUUUUGUGCAUGUUAUGCUAGGCAAGCUACCAGCUGAGCUUCAUCCCCAGUCUGCAUUUAUUGGCUUCUAUAGUCAGGCUUCAGUGAUUAAUGGGCUCUCUGGAAGCCCACCUGUUAAAUUACUAAGCUACAAGAGCCCAUCCGAUAAGCACCUGCAGGAAUCCCUCUUAUUUAGAGCUGGAGAAGCAGCUGGGUGUGGUAGAGUACUUUGUACUUUGAUCACAGCCCUUGGAUGGCAGAGUCUGCUGGUUCUCUGAGCUCAGGACCAGCCUAGUCUGUCUAGUGAGUUCCAGGACAGCAACAACUGCAGAGUGAGACCCUGCCCAAAACAAGCAAAUGAACAAAGCCCCUAAACUUUGAGAGUCCCCCCAGGGGACCAUAUUCCAAACGUUUCAUACAUUAUUGUUGAGUGUGGAUUUACUUUAAAGGCCAUGGGAAGAUGCUGAAUCGUUAGCUGGGAAGCCAUAUGAUGUGCUUGGUAUCAUUCUUCUGCUGCAGUGUAGACCAUGGACUGAGGCCAUUGAAGACACAAAAGCAAGAAAAUGUUGAGAGCUGGAAGGAGGAGGUGGUUGAAGGGAUGGCUGAGAAUACAAACUUGAGAUGUUUCCCAGAAGACACGAGCCUGGAACUAAGAGAUGAGGGGGGCAGGAGCAGUUAGCUAACGUGCCAGAGAUUUGCCAUUUCCACUUAGGCUAGUGGGUGAGUGCUGACGAAAUUGAGGCAAAAAAUAAAAAUACUGGAGUGAGUGUGAGAAUAAUGAGUUCAGAUAAUGCAUGGGUUGGGUUUGAGGUCUCUGGAACACCCUAGAGAUGUACUGUUGGUACUCAGACAUGACAGGACGUAGUGGAUGUUUACAGAAUGGAAGGACGUGGCAAAAAAAAGUUAAAGGUGCGAUGAGAAGGAAAGACUUAAUUGUAAGGAGACAGCCACAGGCUUUGGACUUCUUAACUGAUCUACUACUCCACGCUUGGCUGUAGCCGUCAGUCCGACUUUCGUUAGUCAUUAAGUCUAAUAAUUGAGUGAGUCAAGUUUUGAGGACAUCACUAAGCCAAGACAAAUCCACUCAUUAUUCAAAUACAGAUGGUCCCUUACAAGUGUAUGACUUAAACUGAUGACAGCGGAGAGAAGAAACUUGGAUUGCACAGAAACGGCACCUUGAGUUGUUUUCCUGGGCUAGUGAUGAUUCUCGUCAUGCUGGGCGUGUUAAGUUUGUGCAACUGCAGACUAACUUACAUGUUCUAAUACUUCAGGGAAUCUAGGUAAGGCCUUGGUCCAUUAGAUUAAAUGCAUCUUCAGUUUACACCACUUUCAACUUAAACUCAGUUUAUUAGAACAGAACCCCAUCCUAAGUUGACAUAUGCAAAUACUUGUAGGUCAGGAUGACAGGGAUCAACAGCAGACGUUUCAGGCUGGGGAGAUGGGCCAGUAGGUAAAGAAGCCCGUGGCCAAGGUUGAUGGACUGUGUUUGAUCCCUGGGACCCACAUGGUGAGAGAGAACCAACUCUCACAGCUGUCCUCUGAGCACCAUGCGCAUGCCCACACACACAUCCACAAACAAAAGUGUAAUAGAAAUACAAGUUCCUACCUUUGUAACGGGACCACAGACUUAACACAGCUGACACCAUGAGAGAAGUACCAUUCAGGCCUUAAAAUCCAGCAAGUGGACAGCAACACCCGCCCAGGGAGAACAAAGACCUAACCCACCAAGGUCUAUAGUCCUAAAACGUUCCUAAGUAUACAAACGUUGCUUCUGUAGCUCCACAUCUGGGUGUUCUCGCUGAGGUGUCUCAACCCAGGAUGUGGUUUUUAUGCUUAAAAGUGGACUCUGAGAAAGGCUCAGGGCUGCACCAGAGUCCCACACACCCAGGGUAGUGGGGUAGUCACCAGCUGACCAAUGAGUUUCUAUGGCUUGAACCCAUGCUGGACCAGACUCCUCUGUGGAUACCUACCUCAACACCUUCUUACAGUUAUACCACUAAGACGUUAUUUAUGGUGGAAGUUUUUUUGUUAUUUGGGACAGCAUUGCAUAUAAAACAAAUCCAUUAGGUAGCUGAAGCUGACUUUCAGUCUCUGACCCUCCUGCCUCUAGCACCUCAGGUGCUAGAAUUUCAGGCAUGUAAUUUUGGAAGAUUUAAAAUAAACUUUGAAUGUU